rnacentral:miRNA from 1 species
UGGCAGCUGCCUUGUCUCCGCAG